GGAGUAGUGCCCGAAUAAAGGAUCACUUUGAUAGAGUGAAUUAUGGGGGUUAAAAUCCCCCCUUCUCCU
rnacentral:tRNA from 1 species